rnacentral:rRNA from 1 species
CUUGCUCCUUGGGUGGCGAGUGGCGGACGGGUGAGGAAUACAUCGGAAUCUACUUUUUCGUGGGGGAUAACGUAGGGAAACUUACGCUAAUACCGCAUACGACCUACGGGUGAAAGCAGGGGACCUUCGGGCCUUGCGCGAUUGAAUGAGCCGAUGUCGGAUUAGCUAGUUGGCGGGGUAAAGGCCCACCAAGGCGACGAUCCGUAGCUGGUCUGAGAGGAUGAUCAGCCACACUGGAACUGAGACACGGUCCAGACUCCUACGGGAGGCAGCAGUGGGGAAUAUUGGACAAUGGGCGCAAGCCUGAUCCAGCCAUACCGCGUGGGUGAAGAAGGCCUUCGGGUUGUAAAGCCCUUUUGUUGGGAAAGAAAUCCAGCCGGCUAAUACCCGGUUGGGAUGACGGUACCCAAAGAAUAAGCACCGGCUAACUUCGUGCCAGCAGCCGCGGUAAUACGAAGGGUGCAAGCGUUACUCGGAAUUACUGGGCGUAAAGCGUGCGUAGGUGGUCGUUUAAGUCCGUUGUGAAAGCCCUGGGCUCAACCUGGGAACUGCAGUGGAUACUGGGCGACUAGAGUGUGGUAGAGGGUAGCGGAAUUCCUGGUGUAGCAGUGAAAUGCGUAGAGAUCAGGAGGAACAUCCAUGGCGAAGGCAGCUACCUGGACCAACACUGACACUGAGGCACGAAAGCGUGGGGAGCAAACAGGAUUAGAUAUCCUGGUAGUCCACGCCCUAAACGAUGCGAACUGGA